rnacentral:rRNA from 1 species
UACGGAGGGUGCAAGCGUUAAUCGGAAUUACUGGGCGUAAAGCGCACGCAGGCGGUUUGUUAAGUCAGAUGUGAAAUCCCCGGGCUCAACCUGGGAACUGCAUCUGAUACUGGCAAGCUUGAGUCUCGUAGAGGGGGGUAGAAUUCCAGGUGUAGCGGUGAAAUGCGUAGAGAUCUGGAGGAAUACCGGUGGCGAAGGCGGCCCCCUGGACGAAGACUGACGCUCAGGUGCGAAAGCGUGGGGAGCAAACAGGAUUAGAUACCCUGGUAGUCCACGCCCUAAACGAUGUCAACUGGUUGUUGGGUCUUCACUGACUCAGUAACGAAGCUAACGCGUGAAGUUGACCGCCCUGGGGAGUACGGCC